rnacentral:rRNA from 1 species
UGGGGAAUAUUGCGCAAUGGGGGGAACCCUGACGCAGCCAUGCCGCGUGAAUGAAGAAGGCCUUAGGGUUGUAAAGUUCUUUCGGUAUUGAGGAAGGUUGAUGUGUUAAUAGCACAUCAAAUUGACGUUAAAUACAGAAGAAGCACCGGCUAACUCCGUGCCAGCAGCCGCGGUAAUACGGAGGGUGCGGGCGUUAAUCGGAAUAACUGGGCGUAAAGGGCACGCAGGCGGUUAUUUAAGUGAGGUGUGAAAGCCCCGGGCUUAACCUGGGAAUUGCAUUUCAGACUGGGUAACUAGAGUACUUUAGGGAGGGGUAGAAUUCCACGUGUAGCGGUGAAAUGCGUAGAGAUGUGGAGGAAUACCGAAGGCGAAGGCAGCCCCUUGGGAAUGUACUGACGCUCAUGUGCGAAAGCGUGGGGAGCAAACAGGAUUAGAUACCCUGGUAGUCCACGCUGUAAACGCUGUCGAUUUGGGGGUUGGGGUUUAACUCUGGCGCCCGUAGCUAACGUGAUAAAUCGACCGCCUGGGGAGUACGGCCGCAAGGUUA